UCUCUUUUAUGAUUCAUAAGCAAGAUGACAUCAUUUUCAUGCACCUGUGUGACAGGUGCCUCCAUCAAAUCCUGCUAUGAUAUUAGCAUAUUACCCACCUAAUG